rnacentral:rRNA from 1 species
ACGGGGGGGGCAAGCGUUGUUCGGAAUUACUGGGCGUAAAGGGCUCGUAGGCGGCCAACUAAGUCAGACGUGAAAUCCCUCGGCUUAACCGGGGAACUGCGUCUGAUACUGGAUGGCUUGAAUCCGGGAGAGGGAUGCGGAAUUCCUGGUGUAGCAGUGAAAUGCGUAGAUAUCAGGAGGAACACCGGUGGCGAAGGCGGCUUUCUGGACAGAUACCGACGCUGAGGCACGAAAGCUAGGGGAGCAAACAGGA